GGGGAAGCCAUUGGAGGAGGCGAUGUCACGUUACUAGGAGGCGGCGAUGUCACGUUACUUGGAGUAGGCGAUUGUGGUAGUGUUGGUAAGGCCGGGGGAGGAGAAGAUUGUGGGGGUAAUGUUGGAGGAAGAGAAGACACGGGUGGUGCUGUCGCAUUAGGCUGAGAUGCAGGGGGCGGAGAAGAAAGCUGAGGAGGUGGACUCAAGACAAUUGGUGGGACAGGAAUUGGUGCAAGACUUGGAGGUGGAGAAACUACUACUGACAUUUCACCACCACCAAAAACUUGCUAAAUUUACACCAUUUCUUCGAUACUGUCAAACUCUCCAAACACCAAUCAAAUUUAG
rnacentral:misc_RNA from 1 species